GCUAGUAAUCGUAGGUCAGCAUACUACGGUGAAUACGUUCCCGGGCCUCGUACACACCGCCCGUCAAACCAUGAGAGUUGGCAACACCCGAAGUCGGUAGUCUAACCGCAAGGAGGACGCCGCCGAAGGUGGGGUCGAUGAUUAGGGUUAAGUCGUAACAAGGUAAC
rnacentral:rRNA from 1 species